rnacentral:rRNA from 2 species
AACGGCCAUACCAUGCUGAAUAUACCGGUUCUCGUUAGAUCACCGAAGUCAAGCAUCAUUGGGCGCGGUCAGUACUUGGGUGGGUGACCACCUGGGAACACCGCGUGCCGUU